CGGUCACCCGUUCGAUUCGGGUAGAAGGCAGCAUCUAGCAAUCCUUUUUGGAUCUGCUCUCGCCACUCCCCGUCCUAUUGUGUGUUCUUCGUG